AUUGAACGCUGGCGGCAGGCCUAACACAUGCAAGUCGAACGAGUGGCGGACGGGUGAGUAAUGUAUGGGAAUCUGCCUGAUGGAGGGGGAUAACUACUGGAAACGGUAGCUAAUACCGCAUACCAUCGGAUGUGCCCAGAUGGGAUUAGCUAGUAGGUGGGGUAAAGGCUCACCUAGGCGACGAUCCCUAGCUGGUCUGAGAGGAUGACCAGCCACACUGGAACUGAGACACGGCCCAGACUCCUACGGGAGGCAGCAGUGGGGAAUAUUGCACAAUGGGCGCAAGCCUGAUGCAGCCAUGCCGCGUGUAUGAAGAAGGCCUUCGGGUUGUAAAGUACUUUCAGCGGGGAGGCGUUACCCGCAGAAGAAGCACCGGCUAACUCCGUGCCAGCAGCCGCGGUAAUUC
rnacentral:rRNA from 1 species